GAUGCAGAGCAGACUGGCUGGAUGCCACGUCGUGCUUGUUACCUUGGUCCUGCUGGAAAGAAAACAGACCCGACACUGCAAAACUAACUGCAUAGCUGAGGCUGUUUUGUCUUUACGAAUAUAAUUUAUUCAUCAAGUUUAAAGAAAUCUACAGAUUAGUGGGGAGAGUAGCUGGAUGGAGAGAGAACUUCUGUAAUUAGAAAUUUGAAGAGGGGCACCUGGGUGGCUCAGUCGGUUAAGUGUCCGACUUGAUUUCGGCUCAGGUCAUGAUCUCACGGUUUGUGAGUAUGAGCCCUGAAGUGGGCUCCAUGCUGAAGAAAAAGAAAUCUGAGAAGGAACAAAUCCAAAAUUGCUUACGACAGCCAUGUCCAAAUACCCUACCUCUUCCAUCCACCCAUCUUCUCGGGGAAGCCUCUGCAACCGGUUUCUCGUCAGCUCAAGCUGCAGGCCAUCGAACCUACACUUAAACCAGCGAUGAGCUUCUUCCAGGUUAGCUGUUAUCUGGACAUACAAGCGUUAUCAUUAAACAUUACAACAAAGAAACAGUUUUUUGUGUAUUGGUUCAAGAGACUUUUUACCUAGAUGUUAAAAGACCCAAAUUCUGAAUGCAAGGUCCUUGUAACCUAUUUGCAUAAUAUCCAUUCUACAGAUGAGAGAGAUUUCUGGAUGCAGAAAUGAGGGCUGCCUGCAAGCCUGUUGCUUUUUCAUGCAUUUGUUCCUAUUUCUUGGGCGUGACCUAAGGUAAGAGAACCCCGGGGAAAAAUCAGAAUGACGGGGUAAGAUAGCGCUGCAAGUGAACGUGGUAGUGCAAACCAUGGUUGGGACUUGUGAGUUCUGUUCUCCAAGACUAAAUACUUCUCCAAAGUCCCUACACUAGAUUUUUCUGUUGUUCUUUAUGAAAGUAAACUGAAUUAGUAAAAGACGGAACCAGCUUAGCAUAAGUCGCAUCCUCUUUAUUUCCUUUAUCAUCAAAAUAUUUUAGACUUCAGCUCCUAAGCACAAACUUCCAAAUCACCUUUGUCAGAUUGACUUAAAUGGUCCCUCUAGUCGUCUGCCUUUGAAGAUGAUCUGGACUCCGUAUUCAUUUAAUUGACAAAUGUCUACUGUGUGCCUGGCACUUUUAUGUGUGUUUGGGAUACUAUGGUAUUUUAAGGUAGGGCCAACAGGCUUUUCUGUGGUAUAAUGGUUGCUUCAAAACAGCUCCAGAACAUAUCCUCUAGAAUAAAAAGCAAAAUGACUGUUUUCUUCCCUUUGAUUAUUUGUUUCAUGGACAGCAUUUUCGUUUUUUGAUUCUCAAGUCUUGAGAGGUAUUUCUGUCUUGCCUGGGAGAAGGCAAGAUCUAGGAGAGCAGGGACUUCGUCGGGCUUGUUUCACCCUGUGUCUCCAUCACCUAGGACAGCACCCAACAUAUGACAGGUCCACAGUAAAUACGUGCGACUAUGUAUUUGUCCUAGCCCGGCCAGUUCACAGUGUGGGCACAAAAUAGUGAGGUAAAAAAAAUAGAGCUCCCCUGGCAUUUAACUUUUAGAAAGUUACAAAGUUCAAGUAUUUUCCAGGUCUGUUUGUAUACCCUAAUGCCGGUGAUACUCACACUCUGCCCCCCACCAAAGGCAGUGUCCAGCACUCUUUACCAGGAGUGGAGGGAAAGAGGCUUGAAAUGGCCCUGUACAUCCAUCCUAUCUCCUCUUGUUUGGUAAAUGGGAAGGGAGGCACCGUUUACUGAAACUUACUCUGAGCCAUCUAACAGAACAACGGAAAGAACUGUUAAACUGAAGGACAGCACUGGUCCCCAGGAGCAGUGAGCUGCCUGGUGUAAGUGCCCACUGAGCUCCCCGCUCCAUCACUGCCUCUGGAGGCCACAGGUUACAUCUCUCUUGGAUCCUGGCUCUGCAGCUUUCGAGUUAGCAGCUUUCAGACUUUAAGGCUUCCAUUUUCUGGACUGGGUCGCUCCAGUGUGAGGUCUCAGGUGAAUAAAACUUUUAAGGCUGAACAGAUAUUUUUGAAUUACAAUGGCUACAGUGGAGAACUUUUAACCUAAAUAUGCUUAUCCAUGUAUGAGGUGCUCUAGAGAAGGUGCUCUAGAAAAGCAAAGCCAAGCACUCAUAAAGGGAAAAGAAAAAUUAUUUUCCUUUCUCUGUGGUUUCUGGGGACUAGAAUGAGAUAUGCUGGAACACGAGCCUCCAGAUGGGAUCUGGGACAACUAGCAGAAGCUAACAAAGAGUGAGAAUUCUCAGCAAAGUCAGCUUUCUCAGAUGUCUGUGAUGUCUGGCUGAGAGAAGAAAGUAAAAAAAUUCACACUGUCCGUUCCUUUCCAAAUUCAGAUUGAUAGGCAAAAAACAGCUGUAAGAAUUAAUCUUUGAAUUGUAUCUUGUGAAUCUGCUUUUGGGUACCCACUGGUUGUUGAUCCUUUCUCACCCAGGGACAGCUACUGCCUUCUUGUUUAUCUUGCUUUAUGUCCUGAGAACCUGGCGAGGCAACCAUCGGGUCAGAGGCUGGAUAGAAAUAGGGGUGCCAUCCCAUUCAUGGCUAGGGACCUACUGACCCCCAACACAAUUCUCUUUCUUUUGGUUACUUUGGGAGUGGCUCUGAUCUUGGGAGGGUAGUAUCUUUUGUGCUCUUUGGGGAUCUCUCUUAUAUUCAAGGGUUUAAUACUGCUAGGAAUAUUUACUGUUUGUCCUGGCUGAAACUUGGCAAGAUAUCUGGAAGAAUUUAAAGGAGUUCUAUGGUCAGAAGAUGGCCAUAUUCAGAGCCUGACAGACUUUUAAAAAUUCCUUUCUCCUCUCUGCAAUGAUGGCACUAUUACUGGUCAACAGCAGUUCACCUCCUGCUUGUUGAUCCUUUGGGUCUGAGUGAAGAU